rnacentral:rRNA from 1 species
UGGGGAAUUUUCCGCAAUGGGCGCAAGCCUGACGGAGCAACGCCGCGUGAGGGAGGAAGGCCUGUGGGUUGUAAACCUCUUUUCUCAGGGAAGAAAUUUGACGGUACCUGAGGAAUCAGCAUCGGCUAACUCCGUGCCAGCAGCCGCGGUAAGACGGAGGAUGCAAGCGUUAUCCGGAAUUAUUGGGCGUAAAGCGUCCGUAGGUGGUUAUGCAAGUCUGCUGUCAAAGACUACAGCUCAACUGUGGGUAGGCAGUGGAAACUGUGUGACUAGAGUGUGGUAGGGGUAGAGGGAAUUCCUAGUGUAGCGGUGAAAUGCGUAGAUAUUAGGAAGAACACCAGUGGCGAAGGCGCUCUACUGGGCCAUAACUGACACUGAUGGACGAAAGCUAGGGGAGCGAAAGGGAUUAGAUACCCCUGUAGUCC